CUACGGGAGGCAGCAGUGGGGAAUUUUGCGCAAUGGGCGAAAGCCUGACGCAGCAACGCCGCGUGCGGGAAGAAGGCCCUCGGGUUGUAAACCGCUUUCGGCAGGAACGAAAUUGACGGUACCUGCAGAAGAAGCCCCGGCCAACUACGUGCCAGCAGCCGCGGUAAUACGUAGGGGGCGAGCGUUGUCCGGAUUCAUUGGGCGUAAAGAGCUCGUAGGCGGUUCGGUAAGUCAGAUGUGAAAACUCCAGGCUCAACUUGGAGACGCCAUCUGAUACUGUCGUGACUAGAGUCCGGUAGGGGAGCACGGAAUUCCUGGUGUAGCGGUGAAAUGCGCAGAUAUCAGGAGGAACACCAGCGGCGAAGGCGGUGCUCUGGGCCGGAACUGACGCUGAGGAGCGAAAGCGUGGGUAGCGAACAGGAUUAGAUACCCGGGUAGUCC
rnacentral:rRNA from 1 species